UUCCGGUUGAUCCUGCCAGAGGUUACUGCUAUCGGUGUUCGCCUAAGCCAUGCGAGUCAUAUGUUCUUCGUGAACAUGGCGUACUGCUCAGUAACACGUGGAUAACCUGCCCUUGGGUCCGGCAUAACCCCGGGAAACUGGGGAUAAUUCCGGAUAACGCAUAUAUGCUGGAAUGCUUUAUGCGUAAAAUGGAUUCGUCUGCCCAAGGAUGGGUCUGCGGCCUAUCAGGUAGUAGUGGGUGUAAUGUACCUACUAGCCGACGACGGGUACGGGUUGUGAGAGCAAGAGCCCGGAGAUGGAUUCUGAGACAUGAAUCCAGGCCCUACGGGGCGCAGCAGGCGCGAAAACUUUACAAUGCGGGAAACCGUGAUAAGGGGACACCGAGUGCCAGCAUCAUAUGCUGGCUGUCCGGGUGUGUAAAAUACACCUGUUAGCAAGGGCCGGGCAAGACCGGUGCCAGCCGCCGCGGUAACACCGGCGGCCCGAGUGGUGAUCGUGAUUAUUGGGUCUAAAGGGUCCGUAGCCGGUUUGGUCAGUCCUCCGGGAAAUCUGACGGCUCAACCGUUAGGCUUUCGGGGGAUACUGCCAGGCUUGGAACCGGGAGAGGUAAGAGGUACUACAGGGGUAGGUGUGAAAUCUUGUAAUCCCUGUGGGACCACCUGUGGCGAAGGCGUCUUACCAGAACGGGUUCGACGGUGAGGGACGAAAGCUGGGGGCACGAACCGGAUUAGAUACCCGGGUAGUCCCAGCCGUAAACGAUGCUCGCUAGGUGUCAGGCAUGGCGCGACCGUGUCUGGUGCCGCAGGGAAGCCGUGAAGCGAGCCACCUGGGAAGUACGGCCGCAAGGCUGAAACUUAAAGGAAUUGGCGGGGGAGCAC
rnacentral:rRNA from 1 species